AUACGUAGGUGGCGAGCGUUGUCCGGAAUUACUGGGUGUAAAGGGCGUGUAGGCGGGAUGGCAAGUCAGAUGUGAAAUACCGGGGCUUAACCCUGGUGCUGCAUCUGAAACUGCUGUUCUUGAGUGCCGGAGAGGAAAGCGGAAUUCCCAGUGUAGCGGUGAAAUGCGUAGAUAUUGGGAGGAACACCGGUGGCGAAGGCGGCUUUCUGGACGGUAACUGACGCUGAGGCGCGAAAGCGUGGGGAGCAAACAGGAUUAGAUACCCUGGUAGUCCACGCCGUAAACGAUGGAUACUAGGUGUAGGAGGUGUAAAUACCUUCUGUGCCGGAGUUAACACAAUAAGUAUCCCACCUGGGGAGUACGGUCGCAAGGCUGAA
rnacentral:rRNA from 1 species